UUGAAAGAGUGCGUAAUAGCUCACUGGUCAAGUGAUUAUGCGCCGAUAAUGUAGCGGGGCUCAAGCACACCGCCGAAGCCGCGGCACAUUCAUCUUUACGGUGGAUGUGGGUAGGGGAGCGUCCCCCAUUCAGCGAAGCCUCCGGGUGACCGGUGGUGGAGGGUGGGGGAGUGAGAAUGCAGGCAUGAGUAGCGAUAAGGCAAGUGAGAACCUUGCCCGCCGUAAGACCAAGGGUUCCUGGGCCAGGCCAGUCCGCCCAGGGUGAGUCGGGACCUAAGGCGAGGCCGACAGGCGUAGUCGAUGGACAACGGGUUGAUAUUCCCGUACCCGUGUAUGGGCGUCCCUGAUGAAUCAGCGGUACUAACCACCCAAAACCGGAUCGACCAUUCCCCUUCGGGGGCAUGGCGAUUCGGGGCUGCGUGGGACCUUCGCUGGUAGUAGUCAAGCAAUGGGGUGACGCAGGAAGGCAGCCGUACCAGUCAGUGGUAAUACUGGGGCAAGCCCGUAGGGAGAGCGAUAGGCAAAUCCGUCGCUCACUAAUCCUGAGAGGUGAUGCAUAGCCGGUUGAGGCGAAUUCGGUGAUCCUCUGCUGCCAAGAAAAGCCUCUAGCGAGCACAUACACGGCCCGUACCCCAAACCAACACAGGUGGUCAGGUAGAGAAUACCAAGGCGUACGAGAUAACUAUGGUUAAGGAACUCGGCAAAAUGCCCCCGUAACUUCGGGAGAAGGGGGGCCGGAAUACCGUGAACACCCUUGCGGUGGGAGCGGGAUUCGGCCGCAGAAACCAGUGGGUAGCGACUGUUUACUAAAAACACAGGUCCGUGCGAAGUCGCAAGACGAUGUAUACGGACUGACGCCUGCCCGGUGCUGGAAGGUUAAGAGGACCCGUUAACCCGUAAGGGUGAAGCGGAGAAUUUAAGCCCCAGUAAACGGCGGUGGUAACUAUAACCAUCCUAAGGUAGCGAAAUUCCUUGUCGGGUAAGUUCCGACCUGCACGAAUGGCGUAACGACUUCCCAACUGUCUCAACCAUAGACUCGGCGAAAUUGCACUACGAGUAAAGAUGCUCGUUACGCGCGGCAGGACGAAAAGACCCCGGGACCUUCACUACAACUUGGUAUUGGUGUUCGGUACGGUUUGUGUAGGAUAGGUGGGAGACUUU
rnacentral:rRNA from 1 species